rnacentral:rRNA from 1 species
GACGAACGCUGGCGGCGUGCCUAAUACAUGCAAGUAGAACGCACAGUUUAUACCGUAGCUUGCUACACCAUAGACUGUGAGUUGCGAACGGGUGAGUAACGCGUAGGUAACCUGCCUGGUAGCGGGGGAUAACUAUUGGAAACGAUAGCUAAUACCGCAUAAUAUUAAUUAUUGCAUGAUAAUUAAUUGAAAGGUGCAAUUGCACCACUACCAGAUGGACCUGCGUUGUAUUAGCUAGUAGGUGAGGUAACGGCUCACCUAGGCGACGAUACAUAGCCGACCUGAUAGGGGGAUCGGCCACACUGGGACGGAGACACGGCCCAGACUCCUACGGGAGGCAGCAGUAGGGAAUCGUCGGCAAUGGACGAAAGUCUGACCGAGCAACGCCGCGGGAGUGAAGAAGGUUUUCGGAUCGUAAAGCUCUGUUGUAAGAGAAGAACGGGUGUGAGAGUGGAAAGUUCACACUGUGACGGUAUCUUACCAGAAAGGGACGGCUAACUACGUG